rnacentral:rRNA from 1 species
UAGGGAAUCUUCGGCAAUGGACGGAAGUCUGACCGAGCAACGCCGCGUGAGUGAAGAAGGUUUUCGGAUCGUAAAGCUCUGUUGUUAGAGAAGAACGUUGGUAGGAGUGGAAAAUCUACCAAGUGACGGUAACUAACCAGAAAGGGACGGCUAACUACGUGCCAGCAGCCGCGGUAAUACGUAGGUCCCGAGCGUUGUCCGGAUUUAUUGGGCGUAAAGCGAGCGCAGGCGGCUCUUUAAGUCUGAAGUUAAAGGCAGUGGCUUAACCAUUGUACGCUUUGGAAACUGGAGGACUUGAGUGCUGAAGGUGAGAGUGGAAUUCCAUGUGUAGCUGUGAAAUGCGUAGAUAUAUGGAGGAACACCGGUGGCGAAAGCGGCUCUCUGGUCUGUAACUGACGCUGAGGCUCGAAAGCGUGGGGAGCAAACAGG